CCCUUAGAUGUUCUGGGCCGCACGCACGCUACACUGAUGCGUUCAACAAGUUUCCUUGGCCGAGAGGCCUGGGCAAUCUUCUUAAUAUGUAUCGUGAUAGGGAUAGAUUAUUGCAAUUAUUAAUCUUGAACGAGGAAUUCCUAGUAAACGCAGAUCAUCAAUCUGCAUUGAUUACGUCCCUGCCCUUUGUACACACCGCCCGUCGCACCUACCGAUUGGAUGUUCCGGUGAAGCCUCGGGAUGAGGACUGGUGCCUUUAUUGGCAUGAGUUGUUCAGAACUUGUCUAAACCUUAUCAUCUAGAGGAAGGUGAAGUCGUAACA
rnacentral:rRNA from 1 species